GACGAACGCUGGCGGCGUGCUUAACACAUGCAAGUCGAACGGAAAGGCCCUGCUUUUGUGGGGUGCUCGAGUGGCGAACGGGUGAGUAACACGUGAGUAACCUGCCCUUGACUUUGGGAUAACUUCAGGAAACUGGGGCUAAUACCGGAUAGGAGCUCCUGCUGCAUGGUGGGGGUUGGAAAGUUUCGGCGGUUGGGGAUGGACUCGCGGCUUAUCAGCUUGUUGGUGGGGUAGUGGCUUACCAAGGCUUUGACGGGUAGCCGGCCUGAGAGGGUGACCGGCCACAUUGGGACUGAGAUACGGCCCAGACUCCUACGGGAGGCAGCAGUGGGGAAUAUUGCCCAAUGGGCGGAAGCCUGAUGCAGCAACGCUGCGUGCGGGAUGACGGCCUUCGGGUUGUAAACCGCUUUCGCCUGUGACGAAGCGUGAGUGACGGUAAUGGGUAAAGAAGCACCGGCUAACUACGUG
rnacentral:rRNA from 1 species